CCUUCUUAGUUUUCGUUGAUUCUUUUGGUGUCGAAAGCUUCGAGAUUCAUGGUGGUUUGAGACGCUCAACCGUUGGUAUUCGGUGCUUAAUCUUCCUGUCCCGUCGUUGGUCUCCGAGUGGCUAAAAGUCUUUAGACGAUGAUCUCCUUCUUUUCCGCUUCUCUUAUCGAUUCUUUUGGAAUAGAAAACUUCGAGGUUCAUGGGUUGAGUUGAUCCGCCUUGGGAUGGGUGCUCGAAUCUGCUUGUCCCAUGGUCGAGUGGUUAAAAAUUGGUCGUCAUCAGUCCUCUUCCCCUUUUUCUUCCCUUGUCUCAUCUAUUCGUUUGAAGUCGUAAACCCCAUACUUUUGUCGCUUCAAGAUUCAGCGUUCAAGUGGUCUUCCGUUGGGAUCGCGUUCUCGGAGUUGGCACUGAUUAUGUGGUCUUCUUCCCAGUCGGUCGUUGAGCUGAGUGGCUUAAUGAUCACCUUGUAGAUGGCUCAGCUGGCUACCUCAUUUGUACAAGCAUGUUGCAAGGGUUUUAACGAGAGCCACCUAACACGUGCCAUAUCUUUUGAAGCCGAAAGAGGACACUGCAACACAUUUGGUAGGACUAUGAGGUUUAGCAACUUUCUCCACUCGAAACUCCUAAAAUGGUGUUCCCGAUCUAAUCAUGGGUCCUCACAGAAGCUGUUGGAAGAAGUUGGUGACUAUAGCACAGCAAGCACGUCAGAACGGUCUAAAUUUCUAAAUAAGAUCUCAGUUUUUAUGGGUUAUAACAACAUACAAGAUCUAGUUGCGCAAGAAAGAGAUCGAAGACAAUCUACAACAGAUGCAAAUGAUGUAUAUGAAGAAUUUGAUUUCUCAUUGACCUGUGGAAGGUUUCCGUGCAUUAAACUGGGUGAUUCCUCACUUGUUGGACUAUAUGAUGAGGUUCCACAUGCAGAAGAACAAGAGAAUCUUUUACCUCCUGAAAGCUGUGACAAAUACCUAUCUACUUCUGGUGCAAACUGGGAAAAAUGUAGUAAAUUGGUUGGCACAUGGUAUUCAGUAAGGCCUCCUCCCACAGAAACAAAUCCUUCAUCACCUAUGGAAGACAAUUCGUUCGUGGUGCAGUUAGAUUCUCGAGAAGCAGAUUCUGAUGUAGAAGGGAAGGUAGAAGAACAAGAGACUAGCAAAAACUUACUUGAAAGUUCAUCUACUGAAUCAGUUUUGGACAGAGCUAUCAGAAGUUUACCAGGGACAACCAGUAGACAAUGUUGUCAGCUUGAAGGUGGUGGCUUCUAUACGGUCCGAAAAUUGUUGCAUCAUUUCCCUCACACGUAUUCUGAUCUACUGAAUCCCUUGGAAACAAUAGAGGAAGGGCGCUAUGUGAUGCUUGUUGGAAUUAUUUUAUCUUCUAGGGGAAUCAGAGCUGGUAAAUCAUUCUCUUUCCUUGAAGUUGUUGUUUGCUGUGAGUUCCAAAAGAAUGAAGAAGAUUCUAAAAUUGAGGAUGAUUAUGGCACCGAAGAUAAGAAGAUGAUUUACUUACACUUGAAGAAGUUCUUCCGUGGAACACGCUUUACAUAUCAGCCUUUUCUUAGAAGUAUCGAAUCAAAAUAUACUGAGGGAGAUUGUCUACAUGUUAGUGGUAAAGUUAGAAAGAUGCUUGCUGAAGGCCAUUAUGAAAUGACGGAGUAUGUUAUUGGUAAUCCUGAUGAGGAGGAACGGGAUGUAAAUAGGCAGAAAAUGCCAUAUCCACUCUAUCCUUCUAAAGCUGGCAUAAAACCACAAUUUCUUCGUGACAUAAUAUCAAGAGCCUUGAAGACAUUGACUGUUGACAUGGACCCCAUGCCUGAUGAGAUUCGUAAGGAUUUCAACUUGCUUAACCUUUAUGAUGCCUAUAUGGGUAUCCACCUUCCGAAGAACUUAAAUGAAGCUUAUUUAGCUCGUAGAAGACUAAUAUUUGAUGAAUUUUUUUACCUUCAGUUGGCAAAACUAUUUCAGAUGCUUGAUGCAAUUGGAACACCAAUGGAGAAGGAAAAGUUGCUGGACAAAUAUAAGAACCAUGAAUUCAACACUGUCUGUGUUAAGGAUUGGUCUGAUCUUACUAAGAGUUUUCUAAAGGCUCUUCCGUAUUCUCUUACUCCUAGUCAGCAAAAUGCAGUUUCAGAGAUUAUUUGGGAUCUCAAGAGGCCUGUUCCGAUGAAUAGACUUCUACAGGGUGAUGUUGGGUGCGGGAAAACUGUUGUUGCAUUUUUGGCUUGUAUGGAAGUUAUAAGCUCAGGAUUUCAGGCUGCUUUUAUGGUUCCAACUGAGCUGCUUGCCAUCCAGCAUUAUGAACAUUUGCUUUCUUUGUUGGAGAAUAUUGGAGGGACUGAAUGCACACCUUCUGUUGCCUUAUUAACUCGUUCUACAUCCUCAAAGCAGUCACGAAUGGUUCUCAAGGGUCUUCAGAUGGGAGAAAUAGCAAUGGUGAUUGGAACUCACCGCCUAAUAGCUGAGAAAGUUGAAUUUUCCGCUUUACGUAUCGCAGUCAUUGAUGAGCAGCAUCGCUUUGGUGUCAUCCAAAGAGGAAAAUUUAACAGUAAGUUAUAUUCUGCUUCACCAAGCUUAAGAAUGAACUGGAGAAACUUGGAUGAUUCUCUUGAAGAUAAAGCUUAUAUGGCUCCACAUGUUCUUGCAAUGUCAGCCACUCCAAUCCCAAGAACAUUGGCUUUGGCUUUAUUUGGGGAUAUGUCUCUAACUCAAAUUACAGAUUUGCCUCCUGGUCGGUCACCAGUGCAGACUUUUGCUAUUGAAGAAAAUGAAAUUGGUUUUGAGAAGGUAUUCCAGAUGAUGAGAGAUGAGUUGAUAGCAGGAGGAAAGGUAUAUCUUGUUUAUCCAAUAAUUGUAGAAUCUGAGCAACUGCCACAGCUUCAUGCUGCUACUGCUGAUUUUCAAUCAAUACCAGACAAUUUUAGAGGUUACCAAUGUGGUCUGCUGCAUGGGCGCAUGACCAGUGAUGAAAAAGAUGAUGCACUGAGAAAAUUUAGAACUGGGGAAACCCGUGUACUCCUUGCAACACAACUCAUUGAGAUUGGUGUUGAUGUCCCUGAUGCAUCUAUGAUGGUUGUUAUGAAUGCUGAGAGAUUUGGAAUUGCUCAGUUGCAUCAGUUGAGAGGACGAGUUGGAAGAGGAGAAAGAAAAUCUAAAUGUGUUUUCUUGUCUUCUACUUCUGCGGGUCUCAAUCGAUUGAAAGUACUUGAAAGAUCUUCUGAUGGAUUUUACCUGGCAAAUGCUGACCUUCUACUUCGUGGGCCUGGUGAUUUGCUUGGUAAGAAGCAAUCAGGACAUAUUCCAGAAUUUCCAAUUGCUAGAUUGGAGAUUGAUGGAAAUAUUUUACAGGAAGCUCACCUUGCUGCCUUGAAAGUUUUGGGAACAAGCAACGACCUACAGCUUUUUCCAAAGCUUCGAGCAGAGCUUAGCAUGAGGCAACCUCUGUGCAUUUUGGGUGAUUAAGGUUCUACCAAGGCUGGAGUACUUUUUGAAUUUUGGAUGAUUGAGGUUCUACCAAGGGUGAAGUAUGUUUCAUGGGACGCCAAUUGAUCCAUCGGUCCAACUGACGAUUUGGCGAGAUCACUUUCCGUUCCCAUAACUUUGCUGGUUUGUCCAUACAAAAUGAUUAAGGGUGCAUUGAUACAAGCACGCAAUCUUUGGCUAAUCGUUUGCUAUCGGGAUGCCUUUUCUUCACAUUAAGGUUGCAUUGUUCCGUGCUUCUGUCUUACAAAAAUUAAACAAAAAAAUUAAAAGGUUUGGUAGAUGUGGAUUACAUUGGAAUAAUAAAAGAGAAGAUUGCCGCCUAUAUUGCAAUAAAUUUUUUCGGUUGGAAGAUCCUACAUUGCAGCCUUCUAAUUUC